rnacentral:lncRNA from 1 species
AGAAGCUGCAAUUUUACAACCUCACAACAAGCGUCCCCUAGCAAAGCUGCACCGCCAUUUCCUGUGCUUGGGAACUGGAGGCAAGGUUUUAAAACAGUGCUGUGGUGAACAGCUUUCCUGAUGCGUCCUUAGAGCAGCUCUGAGCGUUUCCUGCGGGCAAAUCCCUAGAAGAGGCCGGCGGACCAAAGACUAUGCUGCGUUUUGCCAAAAUGCCCUCCAGAAACACGGGACCAGCCUGCCGUCCACUCACUGGUGAGCGGGCAUGCCCGCUUGCCUGUCCUUUUGCCAGCCCUGAGAUGCUGUCAUUGCAUUAUGUCUUUGGCAGUCUGAUAGGCGAAACAGCCCUUUUCAUCACUGGAAUCCUAAUUUCUUUGACUGCUGGUGAUGUUGAACAUCUUUUCAUUUUAUUAUUGGCCAUUUGGAAAAUUGCCUGUCUAUGUUCUUUGCCCAUUUUUUGUUUUUCUGUUGGGCUGUGUGUCUUUUUCUUAGGGAUUCCAAGAGCUUGUUACUGUAAGGAAUUUAGCCCUUCUCUGUUCCAUAUGCUACUCUGUACAAGAGUGUAAAUGCAAUGUGUGGACGGGCGCGGUGGCUCACGCCUGUAAUCCCAGCACUUUGGGAGGCCAAGGUGGGCAGAUCACCUGAAGUCAGGAGUUUGAGACCAGCCUGGCUAACAUGAUGAAACCUCGUCUCUACUAAAAAUACAAAAAUUAACUGGGUGUGGUGGCGGGUGCCUGUAAUCCCAGAUACUCAGGAGGCUGAGGCAGGAGAAUUGCUUGAACCCAGGAGGUGGAGGUUUCAGUGAGCCGACAUCGUGCCACUACAGUCCAGCCUGGGCGACAGAGCGAGACUCUGUCUCAAAAAACAACAACAACAACAAACUGUUUUGUACAACAGUACAAUAACACAGAGUAUUAUACAGUAGUACAGUAUACUCUUGUACAUUGCAUUUAGUUUUCUGUCAUUUUUCUUUUGACUUUGGAUUUUGUUUUUUUUUAACUUUUUUUGUUUUUUGAGACAGGGCUUACUCUGUGUAUACUCAGGCUGGAGUGUACUGGCGUGAUCACAGCUCACUGCAGCCUCAACCUCCCCAGGCUCAGGUGAUCCUCCCACCUCAGCCUCCCCAGUAGCUGGGACUACAGGUGCACGCCACCACGCCUGGCUAGUUUUUUUUGUUUUUGUUUUUGUAGAGAUAGGGUUUUGCCACGUUCCCCAGGCUGGCCUUGAACUCCUGGGCUUGAGUGAUCCACCCUCCUUGGCUUCCCAAAGUGCUGGGAUUACAGAUGUGGGCUACUGUGUCUGGCCUUUUUAUUUUUUUACUACGUAGAGGUUUAAAGUUCUUCUGUAGCUAAAUCUAUCAAGUUUUCUUUUGUGGUUUCUGGCUUUGGGGUAAGGCCUGGGAUAGCUUUUACCACUCUAAGAUUUCGUAAUCAUUCACCAAUUUAAUCCCUGCAUUCCAAAGUAAGAGAGCAGCGUAGGGCAUGGAGGAGUGUGACCUAGGGCUUUCGGGAGAUUCCUGGGCCAGAGUGUAUGGCACGUAAUAAACAGUUUCUCAAAACAGC